AUUGAACGCUGGCGGCAUGCCUUACACAUGCGAGUCGAACGGCAGCACGGGAGCAAUCCUGGUGGCGAGUGGCGAACGGGUGAGUAAUAUAUCGGAACGUGCCCAGUCGUGGGGGAUAACGUAGCGAAAGCUACGCUAAUACCGCAUACGAUCUAUGGAUGAAAGCGGGGGAUCGCAGGACCUCGCGCGAUUGGAGCGGCCGAUACCAGAUUAGGUAGUUGGUGAGGUAAAAGCUCACCAAGCCGACGAUCUGUAGCUGGUCUGAGAGGACGACCAGCCACACUGGGACUGAGACACGGCCCAGACUCCUACGGGAGGCAGCAGUGGGGAAUUUUGGACAAUGGGCGCAAGCCUGAUCCAGCAAUGCCGCGUGCAGGAUGAAGGCCUUCGGGUUGUAAACUGCUUUUGUACGGAACGAAACGGUGAGCUCUAAUACAGUUUGCUAAUGACGGUACCGUAAGAAUAAGCACCGGCUAACUACGUGCCAGCCGCCGCGGUAA
rnacentral:rRNA from 1 species